GCAUUUUUUAAGGGCUUCCUUAAGCUAAACCUCCAGAGCUUGGUUCUAAGAGUGGGCUUUUCAGACUGCUUGAAAAGGGAUCAGCUGCCCCGCAGAGCACAGGAGAAAGAACCUGCAGUGGGACACAAGUGCUGAGUCCUGGUCCUGACUGCUGGCCACUGAGUCCUUCUCUCCAUGUGUAAACUUGAGAAGCACCAGCCCCUCUGCCCACUUCUCAGGGCAGUCAUGGCCUCAAAUGACCUCAUGGACUUCACCCCCCCCCCCAUCUAAACCAAAGUACCUCCGCUGCUGUUCAGUUGCCCACUCCGCACACCUGUGCUCUUCGGGGGCCCCUGGGAGCCUGUCUCCCCCAGACGCCCACAUACGCCUUGUGCAGGCCCGGUCCGUCCAUCCCUGUGCCAGGAAAAUGUCCGCGGCCUACACUGUCCUGCAGGUUCCCGCGCACCUGGUCCCGCGCACCUGUUCCGGACCCCGCGGAAAGAUGGCUCUGGGCGCCAUCCAUACCGACCACAUCACAGUUUUGCGGCCCCUUCUCCCACCACCCAGGGUGGGACACGAGGGGCGGACAUUCAAACCACUGAGGUCUAGAAGCAGAGCCAAGCCUUCCAGCCAAGAUUCUCAGCAGAGCACCACGCCUGCCGCUUUGGGCCCACCCCUUCACCCCCACUCUCGCGUAGGAGGGAGUUGGGCUGGCGGCGGCCACCCUCCCUGCGGCCCCGUGAAGUCGGCGGCGGCGGUGUGCAGUGCGCACACCUCUGGCGGGGAGAGCCUGUCAUCUGCACAGGGUGAGUGGAGGUCACGUCUAUCAGUUUCCUGGGGCCUGUGUGGCAAAUUACUACAAACUGAGUGGCUGAAGACAACACAAAUGUUCUGGAGGUCAGAAGUCAAACAUGGAUCUUACAGGACUGAAAUCAAGGUAUUAGCAGAAGACUCAGUGAGGCCCCAUGGUGGGGGUGGGGGGAAUGGGGACUCUUUCCUUCUCUUUUCUAACUUCUAGAAUCUACCUGCAUUUGUUGGGUCCUGACCCCUUCCUUCUCCCAUCUUCAAAGUGCAUCACAACAAUCUCUCUUUUUAUAGCUCAUUCCCUUCUUCUGAUCUUGACCUUCUUGCCUGCCUCCUAGAAGGACUCUCCUGAUGACUUUGGGGCCACCCAGAUAAUCUAGGAUAAUCGCUAUCUCAAAAAAUCCGGGGGCGCCUGGGUGGCUCAGUGGGUUAAAGCCUCUGCCUUCGGCUCAGGUCAUGAUCCCAGGGUCCUGGGAUCGAGCCCCACAUCGGGCUCUCUGCUCUGCCGGAAGCCUGCUUCCUCCUCUCUCUCUCUCUGCCUGCCUCUCUGCCUACUUGUGAUCUCUGUCUGUCAAAUAAAUAAAUAAAUAAUCUUAAAAAAAAUAAAUCCGUAAUUCAAUCACAACAUCCCUUUUUCGCACAUGAGAUAGCACACAGGUCGUGGGGAUUAGGACAUGAACAUCUUUGGUGGGCCUUUAUUCUGUCCACCACGCCACCUGUGCAGCCACAGGGAACAACACCCCACCAGAUGUGAUGAAUAAAGGCAUUGUUUGCUACUAUAAUGGGAAGCCUGGAGGUAGGACAGUGCCAAGGUCUGGUUCAGUAGCUCUACCCAGGGACCAUGUUUUCUUUCCAUCCUUCUGUUCUAUCCUUUCUCCAUGUGUUAUCUUUACUUUUAAUUUUUUUUUUUAAACUUGUCUGCUCUCAGUCAUAAGAUGGAUACUGCAGCUCUAAGCAGCAUAUGAUAGUCAGGAUAGGAUAGUAGUAAGAAACAACCCCAAAGCUAUUCCAGGCAUGCCAUGGUCACAAACCACCCCCUCAACCUUAGGGUUUAUAAAGGUAAGAGUUUAUUUCAUAUUCAUGCCACAUGAGGUUUCUAUUCCAUGUUCCCUCACUUCAGAUCCCAAUAGACAGAAGAGCUCCCACUGUGUGCCUGCACAGGUUCCUAAAGCUGCCAGUUGGAAAGGACACAUGUACCUUCCACUCAUGAUCUGUUGGCCAAUGCAGUUCACUCCUGACUCUGUGGGAGAAGGAAAGUACCCAGAAAGCCAAUACCCAAAAUAAUCUGUGAGUAACACCAGUGACUAGUAAACCUGCCCCUUUCGCCCACUAGUGAUUACUAAAUCUAGCCAAAUAUUUGUCUCACUCUCUCUUCCACAGGCAAAAAUACACUCUCCAUUCCUCAAAGGAGGCAACCAAAUUUCCAUACUGUUACAAAAUCAGGCCAAGACUAGUGGAGGUUGUACAGUGGUCUCUCCAUCAAGUCGGGCAUGGUUCCUCUGGAUUCAAAGACUUAUAAGCUAAAAACAUGUUACUAAGUGUAUGCAGCUUGAGUGAGAAAAAAAAAAUCUUUGUUGUUAGAAGCCACCAGGAUUUUUUGGAGUGUUGUUUGUUACCCAAGUAUAACCUAGUCUAUCCUAGAAGCUACUGGAAGAAUGUUGCUGCUGAAAUGGAAAAAAAAAAAAAAAGUGCACUGGCUUAGGAAUUGGGAAAUUGGGAGGGACUGUGAGGAUGCUGUUUACCAAAACCAAACAGAAGGGAGUUCAUGUCAGUAAGUGGCAAUUGGGCACCCAGGCAGCUCAGUCAGUUAAGCAACUGCUUUGGACUCCAGUCAUGAUCUCAGGGUCCUGAGAUAGAGCCCUGAGUCAGGCUCCUUUCUCAGGAGGGAGUCUGCUUCUCCCUCUGCCCCUCCCCUUGCUUGUGCAUGUGCACUCUCUCUUUCAAAUAAAUAAAUAAAUUUUUUUAAAAAAGGAAGUGACAAAUAUUUGAUAAAACUGUACCCAACAGAUAACA
ensembl:lincRNA